rnacentral:rRNA from 1 species
AGAGUUUGAUCCUGGCUCAGAUUGAACGCUGGCGGCAGGCCUAACACAUGCAAGUCGAGCGGAUGAAGGGAGCUUGCUCCUGGAUUCAGCGGCGGACGGGUGAGUAAUGCCUAGGAAUCUGCCUGGUAGUGGGGGAUAACGUCCGGAAACGGGCGCUAAUACCGCAUACGUCCUGAGGGAGAAAGUGGGGGAUCUUCGGACCUCACGCUAUCAGAUGAGCCUAGGUCGGAUUAGCUAGUUGGUGGGGUAAAGGCCUACCAAGGCGACGAUCCGUAACUGGUCUGAGAGGAUGAUCAGUCACACUGGAACUGAGACACGGUCCAGACUCCUACGGGAGGCAGCAGUGGGGAAUAUUGGACAAUGGGCGAAAGCCUGAUCCAGCCAUGCCGCGUGUGUGAAGAAGGUCUUCGGAUUGUAAAGCACUUUAAGGUGGGAGGAAGGGCAGUAAGUUAAUACCUUGCUGUUUUGACGUUACCAACAGAAUAAGCACCGGCUAACUUCGUGCCAGCAGCCGCGGU